AUACGGAGGGUGCAAGCGUUAUUCGGAAUCACUGGGCGUAAAGGGUGCGUAGGCGGUUUGAUAAGUCUGAUGUGAAAUCCUAUGGCUCAACCAUAGAACUGCAUUGGAAACUGUCAGACUAGAAUACUGAAGGGGCAGAUGGAAUUAGUGGUAUAGGGGUAAAAUCCGUAGAUAUCACUAGGAAUACCGAAAGCGAAAGCGAUCUGCUGGGAAGUUAUUGACGCUGAGGCACGAAAGCGUGGGGAGCAAACGGGAUUAGAAACCCCUGUAGUCC
rnacentral:rRNA from 1 species